GACGAACGCUGGCGGCGUGCCUAACACAUGCAAGUCGAGCGAGAGACUUCGGUCUCUAGCGGCGGACGGGUGAGUAACACGUGGGUAACCUGCCUCAUAGAGGGGGAUAGCCUCCCGAAAGGGAGGUUAAUACCGCAUAACAUCAUGCUAACGCAUGUUAGUAUGAUCAAAGGAGCAAUCUGCUAUGAGAUGGACCCGCGGCGCAUUAGCUAGUUGGUGAGGUAAAGGCUCACCAAGGCGACGAUGCGUAGCCGACCUGAGAGGGUGAUCGGCCACAUUGGAACUGAGACACGGUCCAGACUCCUACGGGAGGCAGCAGUGGGGAAUAUUGCACAAUGGGCGAAAGCCUGAUGCAGCAACGCCGCGUGAGUGAUGAAGGCCUUCGGGUUGUAAAGCUCUGUCUUUUGGGACGAUAAUGACGGUACCAAAGGAGGAAGCCACGGCUAACUACGUGCCAGCCGCCGCGGUAAGAC
rnacentral:rRNA from 1 species